rnacentral:rRNA from 1 species
AGAGUUUGAUUAUGGCUCAGGAUGAACGCUGGCGGCGUGCUUAACACAUGCAAGUCGAACGGAUCUAUUCCGCUGUAAGAUGAAGUGCUUGCAUCGAUUCUACCUGGGACAGGUUAGUGGCGGACGGGUGAGUAACGCGUGGGUAACCUGCCUGUAUCUGGGGGAUAACAGUUAGAAAUGACUGCUAAUACCGCAUAAGCGCACAGUACCGCAUGGUACAGUGUGAAAAACUCCGGUGGAUACAGAUGGACCCGCGUUGGAUUAGCCGGUUGGUGGGGUAACGGCCUACCAAAGCAACGAUCCAUAGCCGGCCUGAGAGGGCGACCGGCCACAUUGGGACUGAGACACGGCCCAAACUCCUACGGGAGGCAGCAGUGGGGAAUAUUGCACAAUGGGGGAAACCCUGAUGCAGCGACGCCGCGUGAGCGAAGAAGUAUUUCGGUAUGUAAAGCUCUAUCAGCAGGGAAGAAAAUGACGGUACCUGACUAAGAAGCCCCGGCUAACUACGUGCCAGCCGCCGC